GCGCGGCAUGGCGGCUGAGGGGGAGAGCUCGGGGGCUGCCGCCUCAGCUGGGCGCUUGGUAUGUUCGGUGUAAGCGUCAAAAAGUGAAGGUUCCAUACAAAAAUCCACUUUCCAAAUUCACUGCCCUUUAUAUCUUGCUUAGGAAUUAGAAUAGGUUUAUCUGUUAAACCUAUUUUUUCUCUAUAUGUCAAUAUCGCUUACUUUCUGUGCUGGUGGUGAGGCAGUGGAGAAGGUUGCCCGGAGAAGCUGUGGGUGCCCCAUCCUUUGAGGUGUUCAAUACCAGGUUAGAUGAGGCCCUGAGCAGCCCGAUCUAGUGGGUCGCAUCCUUGCUUAUGGCAGAGAGUUUGAAACUAGAUGAUCUUUGAGGUCCCUUCCAACCCAAGCCAUUCUUUGGUGUCCCAAUCCCCUGUAUUUGAAGACCUAAUCACUUUUGGUAGACUUUGGGAUAAAGGGGGGAAUGUUAUCCUUGUUUUUUUGAGAAUGUAUUUGCUAGAACAUAACACACCAUUUGAAGCGUGCUACUUAAAACAGCAGUAAAAAUAAAAAGAACAUCAGGCUUAUGGGUGGGGGUCUGUCUGGUAAUACUACAAGGUAUUUCUGCUGGAAGCGGUUAGGUACAACUGCACGCAAAAAGUAACUGCCCCACCUUGACAUUUUCUGAGUGAGUGCACCACUACACAGGCUCAGGAAAUAAGCUCAGCUAUGCCAGUCGUCAAAAUAGGUAUCAUGGGACAUAAAUUUUGCCUCUGAAGUGCCUAGCAUUCUGCAGAUCUGUUUCUGGUGUGUGGAAAAUGUAACGAUAGUGGAGACAAUUAAUACUGGACCUUUUCCAGCUAAGUACCCCAAGCAGCAGAGAUGGUAACAGUUGGAUAGGCACAGGGUUGUGCUUUAUGAGAACUACAAAACUGAUGUGUCUCUGGGGAUUUCUCCUCUGGUUUUAUACCGUAAAUGGCGUCCAAACAGUUUCUUACCAUAAGGAAUAUAUAUUAGCACAUGUAUUCUGAUUUUUCAUUAAAAGAAAUGGUGUAA